rnacentral:rRNA from 1 species
UUCUAAUUGCUUCAUAAUUAGUAAGACCUGCACCAUGACCUUUAAAUAGCCGCUAUUUUCUGUGCUAAGGUAGCAAAAUCAUUCGCCUUUCAAUUGGAGGCUAGUAUGAAAGGUCUAACAUGAAAAUUUCUUUAUUAUUUUUAUUUAUUGAAAUUAACUUUAAUGUAAAAAGGCAUUUAUUUUUAGAGGGACGACAAGACCCUGUCGAGCUUCACAUUAUGUUGAGCUGGGGUGGCUUAAAACAAAUUCUUUUUUUAUUUAUUAUCCUUUAGUGAUAUGAACAAGUUACCGCAGGGAUAACAGCAUAAUUUUUUCUUAUAGACCUUAUUCAAGAAAAAGAUUGUGACCUCGAUGUUGAAUAUUAAUCUAUUUGGAGUAGCAUCUUUACCAGAAAGUCUGUUCGACUUUUAAAAAUUUACA